GGAGGUAUAGCUCAGUGGUAGAGCGCAUGCUUAGUAUGCAGCAAGGUCUUGGGUUCAAUCCUCAAUCCCUCCA
rnacentral:tRNA from 1 species